CAUGACUUUGGUCUGCGUCCUCAUCUGGACUCUCCUCUGCUGCUGCUUCACAGAGUCCAGAGGACAGAUCACAGUGACUCAGCCUGGAGCAGUGAGCUCUGCUGUGGGAGGAACUGUGAGCAUCAACUGCAAAACGAGUCACAGGGUAGAUGAUGGAGAAGAUCAAUUCUGGUACCAGCACAGAGAUGGAGAACGUCCUAAACUGCUCACUAGCUAUGGAAAUCGCAAAGUCUCAGGGAUUCCAGACCGUUUCAGAAGCAGUGGAUCAAACUCUGACUUCACUCUGACCAUCAGUGGAGUCCAGGCUGAAGAUGCAGCAGUUUAUUACUGUCAGGGUGAAUUCAAUGUUAACAGUCAGUGGAUGUUCACACAGUGA